UUACUUACCUGGACGGGGCCGAUGGGUGAUCAAGAAGGCCCAUGGCCUGGGUCAGUGACUUUCAUUGCACUAGGAAAGGGUGCUGCCCUAAGGUCUGCCCAAGUGGCAGAACCUGCGUCAUAAUUUGUGUUAGUGAGGGCCUGCGUCCGCGCGGCCCUCG